rnacentral:tRNA from 1 species
CAGCGGUAGAAUACAACCUUGCCAAGGUUGGGGUCGCGGGUUCGAAUCCCGUCUUCUGCUCCA